rnacentral:rRNA from 1 species
AUUGAACGCUGGCGGCAUGCUUUACACAUGCAAGUCGAACGGUAACAGGCCGCAAGGUGCUGACGAGUGGCGAACGGGUGAGUAAUGCAUCGGAACGUGCCCAGUCGUGGGGGAUAACGCAGCGAAAGCUGUGCUAAUACCGCAUACGAUCUAUGGAUGAAAGCGGGGGACCGCAAGGCCUCGCGCGAUUGGAGCGGCCGAUGUCAGAUUAGGUAGUUGGUGGGGUAAAGGCCCACCAAGCCAACGAUCUGUAGCUGGUCUGAGAGGACGACCAGCCACACUGGGACGGAGACACGGCCCAGACUCCUACGGGAGGCAGCAGUGGGGAAUUUUGGACAAUGGGCGCAAGCCUGAUCCAGCAAUGCCGCGUGCAGGAAGAAGGCCUUCGGGUUGUAAACUGCUUUUGUACGGAACGAAAAGGUCCGGGUUAAUACCCUGGGCUCAUGACGGUACCGUAAGAAUAAGCACCGGCUAACUACGUGCCAGCCGCCGCCGUAA